rnacentral:rRNA from 1 species
GCGCGAAACCUUCGCAAUGCGCGUAAGCGUGACGAGGGGACUCUGAGUGGUAUUAGCUACUUGCUAGUGCCUUUUGCCUAGUGUAAAAAUUGCCGUCACACGGCGAUUAUCAAGCUAGGAGAAUAAGGGUGUGGGCAAGACUGGUGGCAGCCGCCGCGGUAACACCAGCGCCUCGAGUGAUACCCACGAAUAUUGGGCCUAAAGCGUUCGUAGCCGAUCCUUUAAGUCCGCUGUGAAAUGUUGCCGCUCAACGGUAACGCGUGCAGUGGAUACUGAGGGAUUUGGGAGCGGGGGAGGGAAGAAGUACUUCUGGGGUAGCGGUAAAAUGCGUUGAGCCUAGAAGGACUUUCAGUGGCGAAGGCGUCUUCCCAAAACGCGUCCGACGGUGAGGAACGAAAGCUGGGGGAGCAAAUCGG